rnacentral:lncRNA from 1 species
UUUAUUUUCUAGUAUCAUUGAUUUUAAUUAUAAUAAGCAAUCAAGCAACAUAAAAGUUUAUAUGUGGUGGUAUGUAUGUAGUCUUGGAAAAAAGUUUGUUCUAUAUUUGGAUAUAAUUGGUGUCUAAACGCAUAAUCAAUCUUUCAACUUUAUUCUACGACAUUGUUUUAUGUUGACUCACAUCAUACUUUUUAUUAAAACUCAUAAAUACGAGGGUGGUCUGAAAUGUUUCUGAACUCAACGUGAAGAUUGCAACACUCGUAAAUAGAAGAUAGUCACAUCUAUCUAGCAUUUGUUUGACAGUUAACCGCCAAAGUUUCAGCCAUUUUGGACGUGUUGUUAUAAUAUAACAAACUUUUGAGUGUUUUUGUAAAAAUAGAUAAAAUCCAGUACUGCCCUGUUGGUGCAGUUUAGGAGCAAUACAUCCAAGUUUUAGCACCAUUUAAUUACCAUAGAUGAGACUUGGAUAUACACCAUUAUAAAUCCAAAACAAAAAGGCAGGCCAAAUAGUGGAUUACAAAGAUUUUCGUCAAAUGAAGAGAUAAUCUCCUUCGUGAAUAAAUAUUUGGAGUGAGAUGAGAAGCAUCGCUGGGAGAAGUGUGUAGUAGAGUUACAAGGAGGCUAUGUUGAAAAAUUUAAAAUUCAGAGAAAUGUAUAGUAUCUUUGUUAGGUUGGAAACUUUUUAGACCACCCUUGUAUAUAUUACAAUUCUAAGAUAAAUGUCAAUACAUAUUUUGAGUUCUUACUUUUCUGUACAUAGCUAAAUUGCCGAUUUUGAAAAAAAAAAAAAAAAGAUUGUGGAUGUAAGUAUCAUAAACUUCCAGGAUCGAAUCCAGGAGGCUGAUAACGGAGGUGAUGGGUUGAAGGCAAGGGAAAAAAUAUUUCGAGAGGGAUGAUUUGGAUGAGAUAAGGGAUUUACCCUAUUUCUUUUUCGUAAACGACCUUAAAGUUAACUCAUAUCUUUACAUAAGGGUUCUCCAAGAUUAAAUUUUAAUUUGGCUCAAUGAAAAUUAUCCAAAUAGGGGUUAUUUUUGCUUUAAACAAGACGAUACCCCCUCCCAAACUUCCAAGAAAGUUCAAUAUUAAAUUCCAGUCACUUUCUGGCCCAAAAAAAAUUUAUCACCCAACUUUUCAAAAGUGUAAUAAAAAGACGGCUAGUUAAGUCCCUUGACCAAGUUUUGAAGCCCACAAUGCUUCUUUUCUACCUUUUCCAAAAAAUGGUUGGAAAAAAAUUAAAGUGACACCCUGUAUUUGUAAAUAAAUUGUAGGACUAAUGAUUAUCUAAUGUUUAAAAGUCUACACUUCAAGCAUGGAUAAAAAUAAUAAUUUAUAGAUAUAAAGAUGUAGAUAAAAUGUGAUUCACAUGAAAUUUUCUUAACACAUUUGUGGUUGCCUAUUACCAAUUGGACAUUAUGUGGUUUUGUGGGAAGGCAAAGUUGUUUUUCUUAUCUUGAUUGUUGAUAUCAUAUCCUUAUUUUAUUUUAUUUACAUUAUUUCAAAUCUAUCUUUAAAUAUGUACAUUACAGUGUAUGUAAUUAACUUAUCAAUAUUUACUUAUGUGAAACAGUAAAUAUUACUCAUAUUUCAACAAAUU